UGGGGAAUAUUGCACAAUGGACGGAAGUUUGAUGCAGCGACGCCGCGUGGAGGGUGUAGGCCUUCGGGUUGUGAACUCCUUUUUCUCGCGAAAAAGGCACAGUUUUGGCUGUGUUGAUGGUAGUGGGGGAAGAAGCGCCGGCUAACUACGUGCCAGCAGCCGCGGUAAUACGUAGGGCGCGAGCGUUGUCCGGAUUUAUUGGGCGUAAAGAGCUCGUAGGUGGUUCGUCGCGUCUGUCGUGAAAGCCAGCAGCUUAACUGUUGGUCUGCGGUGGGUACGGGCGGGCUUGAGUGCGGUAGGGGUGACUGGAAUUCCUGGUGUAGCGGUGGAAUGCGCAGAUAUCAGGAGGAACACCGAUGGCGAAGGAAGGUCACUGGGCCGUUACUGACACUGAGGAGCGAAAGCGUGGGGAGCGAACAGG
rnacentral:rRNA from 1 species